rnacentral:rRNA from 1 species
UACGUAGGGACCAAGCGUUGUUCGGAUUUACUGGGCGUAAAGGGCGCGUAGGCGGCGUGUUAAGUCACUUGUGAAAUCUCUAAGCUUAACUUAGAACGGUCAAGUGAUACUGACGUGCUAGAGUGCAGGAAGGGGCAACCGGAAUUCUUGGUGUAGCGGUGAAAUGCGUAGAUAUCAAGAGGAACACCUGAGGUGAAGACGGGUUGCUGGGCUGACACUGACGCUGAGGCGCGAAAGCUAGGGGAGCAAACGGG